AACCCUCAAAUAAACCAUCUCUCACGCUUCUCCCUCUCCAUUUCCCUUUCCCUUCCCAUUUCCUUCAUCUCGCACGUCUCUCCCACUCCCUUUCCCUUUCCCUUCCCUUUUCCUUCAUCUUCUUCAGUCGCAAGCACAUCCUGCGCCAACACUUCGCCCUACCGUCAAACGUUUAUCCGCCAGUCGCAAAAUAUCGGAUUGCUGCUGGAAAUGGUCUAUCCCUCACGUCGAAUGUUCAAAUUGCGAAUGACUAAGCUCUAUCCAAUGCUAGUGUUCUGAGAGAGCCAAGGACCCAUGGACCGAAAAAAUAUGCCACGGUUCAUCUUAAGAAAUGCACCAAAACCUUCCCUAAGCGAAGAUAACUUUGGUGGCUCUUCAUCUAACGACAAUUCUAUAGGACUCCUAAAUCCACUUGAACUAUAAUGUGGAGAGUGUUCGAAGUCACUCUCGUUAAAGUCUCAUUCUCUCAUUAAAUGUUCUGACUCCGUGAUGUUUGCAAGAAUUUUUGCAUUCCUUCUAUUUCUCACGAACUGGUGCCCCUCCUCUUAUACUUUUUCAGCAACAUAAAUGGAAGAAAAUCAAAAUCAUCAUUUUGAUUUUCAGAAGCAAACUCCAUAUCAACCCCUUCAAAAUCUCGCAGUGGUUAGAUCGAGAUGGAUGAUUUCCUGGGUAAAAUAGAUCUCACCAAAGUCAUCUCCUCAUGUCUCGAGUGUAGAUUUUGUGGCAGUGAUCCAAGAAUACCAGAAUACUUAAAUGAAGCAUGAUCAGUUUCAGGCAAUAGCGACACAGAUGGUGGUGUAUGACCUCACUUCCUCGGCAAAUACAUAUUGUAAAAAGUUUAUCAGUGGGGAAGAAAGCUCUCUUGGUUGGGGAUAAGACAAAGCUAGGAAAUGAAAGAGUGGCAGGUCAAUAUUCUACUCAAUCAAAUGAGGGCUGCAAUUUGUGACAUGGUUACAAUUGCAAGGUAUUUGAACGUGACAUUUAUCUUACUUCUACCUUAAUCAGGUUAGUUUUCUCUCCUCCACCUGCUCUGAAUGUGAGAAAAUGCGAAAAGGUUUACAUGGAAGAUUACACUUCUCUUUUAUCCUUUGGCCUUGCUUCCGACGAUACUUCUUCUCUGGUACUUCUCUUUUUUCCCUAAUCUCUCCAUCACAAAAUUAUUUUUCUCUAUGAGAUUUUUUGAAUUCGAAUUUUCGAACAGGAGAAGCUCUACGAAAAAACUAUUACAGUUGCAGAGCAGGAAAUGGUGGAGGAGAAGGCUGAUUAGAUACUCUCCAAAGCUCAUACUUCUAAUGUUGCUUUUCUUGUUGUUGGCGACGUUUUUUAAGCUACUAUCCACUCUGAUCUGGUAGUUCGAGCAAAGAGUUUGGGGAUUGAAGUCAGAGUGGUGUACAAUGCAUAUGUGAUGAAUAUUAUUGGAAUUUGUGGAUUAUAAUUAUAUUGCUAUGAGGAAACGAUUUCAAUACCAUUUUUUAUUGAAACGUGGAAACCGAGUAGCUCCUACGAGAAGAUUCAGAAAAACCGUGGACUUGGUUUGCACACACUCUGCUUGUUAGGUAGGAAUUAGGAUUUUGUUCCUAAUGAUUCAAAUAGAAAAAUUAUGACUCAACAUGAAAAAUAUUGUUGAAGUUAAGCUAAUCCCAUAGUUGUGAAAUAUCAUGUUCUGUAAACCUUUUUUUUUUCCAAUAUUUAGAGAAUGACAUAAUUUAGGCUUUGUUUAUGUUUAAGUCAUGAUGUUUGUUUCGUCUGUAGUGAUGCCGACUUGCCAACAAGUCAAUUUUCUGAAUUUUAAAGUAGCUUUAGUUUUAAUAUUGUGUUCUCUUUUAUAGUAUUGAUUUAGUUGUGCAUUUGGCUGAAGGUUAAAGACUGAGAAGGUUGAAGGUUGAAGCGAGUGACAUUAGUAAUAUUGUGUAGAUAGCUAGGCAAUCGUUGAAGGUUGAAGAUUUUCAAGGCGUUUAAGAUUUCUUAUUUAAGUCUUGUAUUAGGAUCUUGUUUCAUGUACUACUGUAGAUAAACACAAUAUUAAGAUUUCAUUUUGUGUAUACAAAUGUAAAAGACAAAUAUUACAGUUUUCUAAAAUAAUAUUAAUUUUAUUGA